UUGGGCCGUUUCAGAUAGAGAAAGGAAGCUCAGACAUCACAUGGCGCCAUCGCAGGAAUAGAAGAGACGGUCUGCGAUUCUUCAAUUGAGAUUAGGGUUAGAGCGAGAACCACAUCUAUCUGGGCCGGAUGAAGAAAGCACAUCUCGACGUGCGUCUAAAUGAAACGUCGAGUUUCAUUAAUCGGCGACACGUGUCGCGAUGAGGAGCGACGACUUAUCUAGCUGGCGGGUGACGUGGAGGCACCAGGAUUGAGAGAACUGUACUUUAUAUAUAUAGAUAGAUAGAUAGAUAGAUUCAGAACGUAGCAUCGACCAACUCCCAGUCUUAAUAAAAUAUUUAG
rnacentral:lncRNA from 1 species